AAAGUACAGACAAAUCAACAGUUACGAGUCGAGCGGCUUCACCAUUGGUUGUCUUUUCACACAUGACUUUUGCUAAACUUCUGCCGUGAGAGAAUCUGAAACCGAAGAGUA